UUUAAGGCCUGGUUCUCAUACGAUCACUGAAGUUAAACAACGUCGAGGCUGGUCAGUACCUACAUGGGUGACUGCUUGGGAAUACCAUGUGCUGUAAG